AGAAUCAACGCUGGCGGCGUGCCUAACACAUGCAAGUCGAACGCGAAAGUCCCGAAAGGGAUAAGUAGAGUGGCAAACGGGUGAGUAACACGUGGGUGACCUGCCUUCGAGCGGGGGAUAACGUCCCGAAAGGGACGCUAAUACCGCAUAACAUCCUGCCUUUUAAGAGGUGGAGAUCAAAGCCGGGGACCGCAAGGCCUGGCACUUGAAGAGGGGCCCGCGUCUGAUUAGCUAGUUGGUGGGGUAAUGGCCUACCAAGGCAACGAUCAGUAUCCGGCCUGAGAGGGCGGACGGACACACUGGGACUGAGACACGGCCCAGACUCCUACGGGAGGCAGCAGUGGGGAAUUGUUCGCAAUGGGCGCAAGCCUGACGACGCAACGCCGCGUGGAGGAUGAAGACCUUCGGGUCGUAAACUCCUUUCGAUCGAGACGAAUGUUUCCGGUGAACAAUCCGGGAAGUGACGGUACCGAGAGAAGAAGCCCGGCUAACUCUGCGCCAGCAGCCGCGGU
rnacentral:rRNA from 1 species